rnacentral:rRNA from 1 species
UUAACUGGUUUGAGAGGAUGAUCAGUCACACUGGAACUGAGACACGGUCCAGACUCCUACGGGAGGCAGCAGUGGGGAAUAUUGNNNNUUGGACGAAAGUCUGAUGCAGCAACGCCGCGUGGAGGAUGACACAUUUCGGUGCGUA